rnacentral:rRNA from 1 species
ACUGAGACACGGUCCAAACUCCUACGGGAGGCAGCAGUGGGGAAUAUUGCACAAUGGGCGAAAGCCUGAUGCAGCAACGCCGCGUGAGGGAUGAAGGCCUUCGGGUCGUAAAACUCUGUCCUCAAGGAAGAUAAUGACGGUACUUGAGGAGGAAGCCCCGGCUAACUACGUGCCAGCAGCCGCGGUAAUACGUAGGGGGCUAGCGUUAUC